UACAGAUCCAGCAUGAAGAGCGGCGCCGACGAGCCGUGUUUGCCCACCGAGAAGGGCCUCGGGCGGUGAGGCAGCCCCAGGAUGGACAGAAUCUCCCUCUGGAUCUCCCUCCUCUCGUGGUUCCGCAAACGCCGAUUGAUUUAAUUACCCAGCUGCCAUGGUGGGGCCUGAACAUAUGCCUCUCAUCUAUCGCCCAGUCCCGUAAACACUGGUUUGGAAGUGAACCACUAGCCUGCAACGAUUCAGGACUGUGUGUGACUGGGAAAACUCGAAGGUCCCCAUAAGCCUGUCCCUUUGGGCAUUGGAAGCCACAGGCUUUGGAGGCGAUGUUUUUCAUUUGUUUUGUUGGAGAACUGGGCAUCAGUAAUAAAGCCGACAUCUGUCGCCGCUGAACUGCAUUUCAAAGGACAUGUUGGAGGUGCCCAGCGACGUGUAGCCAACCUUCCAGUGGCUGGAGAAGAAGGAGAAUGUGCUGAUGUCGCGGGGUUGGAACAACCCGGAGCGGGGACGUAC